UUAUUAUUCUUAUUCUUCCGUAAAAUAAAUUGGCUUUUUGGGGGCUUUAUCAUAUUCAAAAACUCACCAAACUUGGCGGGGGCAUAGAGCCCGGUGAAAAUUUACGUAUUUUAAGGUCCCCAGAAAAAUCGCACAAGAAACGGCUCAAGGGCGCCACCUAGCAACUUUCAAAAGACCCUUUCCUAUUCACUUACUUUAUCGUAGAGACUUGAAAUUCGGUACG